AGCAGUGGGGAAUAUUGCACAAUGGGCGCAAGCCUGAUGCAGCGACGCCGCGUGAGGGAUGACGGCCUUCGGGUUGUAAACCGCUUUUGACAGGGACGAAGCGCAAGUGACUGUACCUGUAGAAUAAGGACCGGCCAACUACGUGCCAGCAGCCGCGGUAAUACGUAGGGUCCGAGCGUUGUCCGGAAUUACUGGGCGUAAAGAGCUUGUAGGCGGUUCGUCGCGUCGUUUGUGAAAACUUGGGGCUCAACCUUAAGCUUGCAGGCGAUACGGGCAGACUAGAGUACUUCAGGGGAGACUGGAAUUCCUGGUGUAGCGGUGAAAUGCGCAGAUAUCAGGAGGAACACCGGUGGCGAAGGCGGGUCUCUGGGCAGUAACUGACGCUGAGGAGCGAAAGCAUGGGUAGCAAACAGGAUUAGAUACCCGUGUAG
rnacentral:rRNA from 1 species